GUCUAAGUAUAAGCAAUUUAUACAGUGAAACUGCGAAUAUGACUCAUUAAAUCAGUUAUCGUGUAUUUGAUAGUAUUUUACUACUUGCAUAACCGUGGUAAUUUUAGAGCUAAUACAGGCUAACAAUCCUGACUUUUGGAAGGGAUGUAUUUAUUAGAUAAAAGACCAAUGCUUCUUCGGAAGCUCUUUGGUGAUUCAUGAGUACUUUUCGAAUCGCAUGGCCUCGAGCCGGCGAUGGUUCAUUCAAAUUUCUGCCCUAUCGACUUUCGAUGGUAGGAUAGUGGCCUACCAUGGUUGUAAAUAGUAGACUAUUGUAUAUUAUGUUAGCAGACUCGAUUGCAGGUGAG
rnacentral:ncRNA from 1 species